GACUGUCAACUCAGUGGUGUAACCAAUCCCAGAUUCUCCUUUAGCCAGGGGCGGGAUAUUUCGGCAAAUGUGAAACUUUUCCAGCCGGUUCCCUCUGCUCACUAAAACGUUUUUUGAUUUUCAUUGUUUCUGGGCCCAACUUUUGUUAUCAGCCUUUGUGUAUGUUAAUUGCAUUUAGCUAAUUAUUAUCAUCAUAUCUUCCAAACGAUUUUGCUUCUCGUAGACGCUAAUAAAACUUAAUGUGUCCAAAAUGAAGCGCACCGACUGGAAAGAAACAACAACGAUAUUCAUGAAAAGAUUUGGGUCAAACCUGAGAAAGCAACUUUGCACAACAAGAUUCUCUCCAGAUGAACCGUUUCAGUCCUAUUCAGCUUCUUCACAAGCCUUCAGCCUGAGCUCUUUCAGCAUUGUCACUCUUGCCCUGUCCAUACACAUACAAUUGCUAUUCUAAAUGAUUUUCUAUCACUUGUCUAUCAACUGUCACUUAUCACAUAAAAAUGCCACUCUUUGUUUAUUCAACCUGUUCUUUACAUUUUAUCCACUACUUGGCCAGCAAUAUCAAUGGCAGAUUGUAUUAUUGAAUAAUAGAGCUGUUUUGAUUGCAUUGGUUGCUGCCUUAUCAGACAUAUUUUUCACCAACACAACAGCAGGUGUCAGAAUUGGUUCCAUGUGUAUUGGAAUCAGAUCUUGACCGAACUUGUCUUUUCUUUGGAAAAUGAUCAGUCUUACCAUCGUAGGUGGGAUGUUUGGUGCUUAAAUGCCACAAGUUUUAGCAGGUCCUUGGCACAUCGCCAGAGAAAAACACAGUGGAUGUGGUUAAGCCUGAUCUUGUGAAUCUCAACAUUUACAUUGUUUUGUCACACUAUCAGCUAGUCACUCACCAUACAAUUUGUACAGGUGUGUUGAUCUAACUACAUAUUUGAUUCACUAAUAAUGAGGAGAACAGCAUCCCAGUUCUUUACACUCUCCAGGAAAAGAUGUGCAGCUGUAAAUGGUUUUAUACUGAAACCCAGCUAACCAGCUAGAGCACUGACUUGACAAACUUUUUCAGACCAUACUGCUGAUGGAAGCAAAAUGUUUUGCGGUUAAAUAAUGUUUAAGAAAUUGAAAAACGUAUUCGUGAAAAGAAAUGUACUCAACCAAUAUGCUAGGCAUUACAAACUAUUGUACUGAAUUGAUUUCCUUACUUAAAGUUUAAGCCCACACACUUUUUUUACUUCAUUAAAUCAAAAUUAAAGUUU